rnacentral:rRNA from 1 species
GACGAACGCUGGCGGCGUGCUUAACACAUGCAAGUCGAGCGAUGAAGCUUCUUCGGAAGUGGAUUAGCGGCGGACGGGUGAGUAACACGUGGGUAACCUGCCUCAUAGAGGGGAAUAGCCUUCCGAAAGGAAGAUUAAUACCGCAUAAGAUGGUAAUAUCGCAUGAUAUAGCAAUUAAAGGAGGAAUCCGGUAUGAGAUGGACCCGCGUCGCAUUAGCUAGUUGGUGAGGUAACGGCUCACCAAGGCGAAGAAGCGUAGCCGACCUGAGAGGGUGAACGGCCACAUUGGGACUGAGACACGGCCCAGACUCCUACGGGAGGCAGCAGUGGGGAAUAUUGCACAAUGGGGGAAACCCUGAUGCAGCAACGCCGCGUGAGUGAUGACGGUCUUCGGAUGGUAAAGCUCUGUCUUCAGGGACGAUAAUGACGGUACCUGAGGAGGAAGCCACGGCUAACUACGUGCCAGCCGCCGCCGUAA